UACUUGCUUUGCAAAAAAGGGGGGCAUGACCACCCCAGCCCCCCGGUGGUGUGGGCCCUGCAUUCGUUUCUUUUUGUGAAUUUUGAUUUAGCUUCUCUCGAAACGUAUCAUAUGUUUGAAUAUCAUGAUUUUCAAUUUCAAUUUCUAAAAUUAAUGAAGGUAAAUAGGGUAAAUGGAUAAUUUUUUCCAAUGUCAUCAUUGGCCUCGUCUUGGAAACCAGGUCACAGCGCAACAGGAACAUAGUGACACAGAUAGUGAACAGUGUACAGGUAGGAGGCGUAACCGUAACGAAAGGCCAGCUAACAACAAUUCAUGCUCAAUUUAUGAAGAUAAAGAAGAUAAAAUGGUUCGCUACGCCAAGUCCUGCUGUUGCUUCCCACUUCGUUAUGGAGUCAUCCUGGUUGCAGCAGUCGACAUCAAAGCGAAUACGGCGGGAAUAUACUAUAAUGCAUUGCACGAGGCAUGACCAGUGGAUAGGCUUGCAGUUCCAUUCCUUCAUUCGUUAUUCAUCUACGUACAAUCUUAGAUGUGUCUAUGUACAACAGAAUUAAGACUAAACUCUGUCGAGGCGCCUAGAAUGCUGCUGUACUAGAAAUGCAAGGUAAUGUUUCGCAAGUGAUGGCACGAGCGCAAGCAAGACAAGAACGAACACAGUAUCGUUAUAUCAACACACCCGUGUACAUCAAGAAAGUCUCGGCAAUAUGGCUACGAGAUUAUGCCAAAUGUCUUCGUCGGAAAUUUUUGGUGCUGAAACUUGCCUAUUCGUGAAGAGUGUUCCGUGGAAUUCAGAAUGGGAAAAGAAUCCAGUCGAUAAACUAGGACAUUUUUGGCCUCGUUUGGAUUUCCCCUCAUGGCAACAAAGCGACAGCGACAGCAACAAUCAGCACAAGUGCAGAGGCGUAACCGUAAUCACUAUUCUGUGCCGAAGCGCUAGGCUGUUGUAAGGAUUUUACUUCGUGUCCAAUUUAAGAAAAUAAAAUGGUUCGCUACGCCAAGUCCUGCGGCUGCUUCGCACUUCGCUAUGGUGUCAUCUUGAUCGCAGCAAUCGACAUCAUACUUGGUGUCUAUGCCAUCACAACUACUGCGGUUGACAUGAUAAACGAACAUGACAAGUUUCAACAUCAUGCCAACAAAACAGAUCUUCAUGAUAAGAAAAAGGCAGAAGAAAGUCAUUCAAAGCAUGAAAGCUUUCAGGCCUCAAGUAUUGUAAACAUAGUUCUACAAGUUUUGAAUAUAGCAAUGGCCAUCUCUCUGAUUGUUGUUGCUUCCAUAAACAAAACAAAGUACCGAAAAGUAUUGUUGAUUUGGGUUGGAUGGAAUUUCGGGGCAGUCAUUAUGUUGGUCAUCACAACAAUUGUAAGGUCAGUUACUGCUUACGUUUCUUGGAUUGAAAUCUGUAUCCUACUGCUCAUUGCCUGGUACCUGGUAUUCUGCAUUUGGCUGGUUAUGUCAUAUUACAAACUACUGGCAGUCAACACAAAUGAAGCUCCUGCUGGAUAUGAUGAAUUUUCAAACGAGAAAGAUGAUGAAAUGUUUGGUGUUUAGAAGGAAGGAGUAUUGAAAAACAGUUUUAUGAUUGUUAAUUGUACUUUCAAGACAAUCCCCUUUUAGCAAUCUUUGCAACUAAAUUGUAUAUCGCAUUAUAUUUAUCCUAUUUUAAUGAUAACUGAUUUUGGUUACAGAUACAUCAUGUUAUAGCUUUUUAUGUUAUAAAGAGUUUUCUUUAUGUCUUGUUUCAUUCAGGUUGUGAGGUGUGUUAUUAGUAGCUAUGAUUUACUUAUCAUGCUGAAAUAAAACUCUGCACCUAAAUAUAUGUAUAUAAGUAGCAGAAAAGCUAACCAGUAGCCUUCAAUCUUUGGAGCUGAAUGUAAUAGCUUGUGUUGAGUAUGUGUAGAGGCGAAGAAAAGUUUGAUUUUAAAUAUUUUACGAUUUUUAUGAUAUAGUCAUUUGAAUCAGUAUAAUUAAUUGAAUCAGUAAAAACAUACAAAUUCUCAAAACAUUGGAGAUAUACAUAUACAUUCAUAUAUCUAUGCAAGCUACCAAUUUGUGUAAAUAGAUAUUUAAAAACGCUUAUACACCCAUAUGAACACAUAUUUAAAUGGUAUUGACAUUAUGCUAUCUCUGUUUUGUAGAUUACUUCAGUCUAUUAGUUUUAAAAUGUUGCUUAAUGUCAUUUACAGUUUUAAUGAAUGCUGUUCUGAAAUAUAUUUUGUCUUUUAUCUCACUUUCCUUGUUAUAAGUUAGUAUGAUUUGUAAAAUAUCCAUGAAUGCACAUUAUUAUGAUAAACUAUUUUCAAAUUAGAUUUUGAUGCAAGUAUGAAAAAAGCGAUUGCUUGAGCACUGUGUUUCAAAAAAUAACAAUUGUUUGUGUUUAUAAUGUAUACCAAAUUUAUUCCCUCCUCUUAUUUUAUUACACAUUUUCUGAAGCAAUCCAUUGCUGUCAAUUUUUUUCCAUUAAUCACAUCCAAGGGUGUUGCCAAAGGAAGGGUGUGGGGUGUGAUGCUUAGCAGAACAAAAGAAGCAAUUUUUGUUCUAUGCCUGACACCUGUUUGAAACAAUUGCAAGGUAUUAACAUUUUUGUAGUAGUUGAACUGAAGUAUGGCACUAAAGUAUGAUCUUUGAAACAAAAACGCCUAAAGGCGGCAUAUAAGACCCUGUUUACACGAGACCUGGACCAGACUGGAUCCAAAAGUAUCCGGAUACUUCUAGGUUUGAUCCCAGGCGUUUUCAUGGUAUCCAAUCCAAACAUAAUUCUUAUCGUACAUUAUUAUAAGACUUUUGGAAUCAUCUUAUCGUACCAAUUUGCCAACAUAGUAGUAGGUCAGCUUCGUGUUUUGUUUUUUCGACCUUCUCCGCAACCUGAUAAAUUCCCUUGACAUCGCACUGGCUGCAAUAGCAUCCAGCAUCCUGUCCCAGUCUACCAAUGCUUAUCAAGCGUCCAUAACUUACCCAAUGAUUUGGUUGACCUUAUAGAGGUUUGAUGAGAGUCAUUGCUACAAAUGAAAACAAUUGCAAUCAGAUUUUUAAAAAAGUACCUCAACUUUAUAAAGCUACUUAGCCUUUCAUUUUUAGAAGUAUAGUUUUCAGUUGAUAUGAUUAUGUUCGUGCUUUAGUGUUGAACGUGUUCAGAAAAUUUCGCAAGACCUUUACCCUUCACAACAGAUAAAUCUUUGUGAAGUAGUGAAAAAAAUGGACCUUCAAUUAUUUUCUAGCAUCUUCAUUGGGCCUAAAUGUAACUAGCAUGUUAUAGAUAUUCUGGAUGCGGAUUCAAGCCAUAUACUUUCAAAAUUGCUCGUCCCGCGUACCGUUGUUCUGCGUCGAUAUUCUGUGACAGUUUUUCAUUAAGUUGUUUUUAAUUCCUGCUCAGUCUUUCCUGGCCCGACCCCCUCUUCCAUGGUACGAAAUGUUGUAAAUUUUAGCCCCCAGGUUAAAAAGAUUUACAUCAGCGACAUACAAAGUUCUGCUAGUGAAUUUGAUUUCCACCUCUUUCCUUUGAUGAUAUGAUACCAAUACUUUAUACCUUGAUUUCGUUAAAGACUCAUUGCUAACAAUGAGCCAUUGCGCUACGUAAGCAUCCCAUAAUGCAUUUUUAGACUGUCUAAAAUCAAUUUUGGGAAAUCCGUAGAAAAUUACUGCCAUUGUUUGGACGGUGGCCACACUCGCAAAGGCCCAUUGUUAGCAAUGAGUCUUUAAGAAAACCGUCAACUUUCAGCCAGCAAAAAAUCUGACUGGUUAGUAGCUAACAAAGCUAUCAUUGAUUGUUUCGAAAUCUAACUUCCUUCUGGUCAGCUAAAAUAAAUCAACUAAAACAAUAAUUCUAAGCAUAGUUAAUGAAUCACUCAAACAAAAAGGUUAUACAAAAUAUCUUUGGAUUAUAUCAACUAAAAAAAUAGAGGAAAGCGAAAUUAGAAGCACCAUGUAACACAAAUAAACACCAAAAGGAAUUGGCAUUCUUUAUACUUUCUUUAAGACAGUUCAUCCUAAAAAGUAACCAAAAAACUCUAUAACUCAUUUAUUCAAUCACAUGCCCCUGUGGUAUAUUAAAUUGUAAAUGUGCAAACAAAUCAGCGUUAGUACCACAAGGCAACUUACGAAAAGCUGUUAAAGUAGCUGAAAUUUUUUCAUACGCUGCCUAAGUGCACAUAGUGAUCCAGUCUUUCAACGUUUAAAACUCUUGAACUUUUAAUACCUCUUUUAAAAUAUAUGUUUCAAAAAGACACUAGUUACAAUAUCUUAGGACAAGAGUUUCUACAAAAUUUAAGAGAAAUGCUCUUCCAUUUGAUUGUUUGAAACUUUUUAACCAUCUGGCGCUAAAUUUGAAAAACAAAAAAGUCAAUAUCUUUCAAAAGUGAAAUGAAACAUUACUUUUAAGAGAACCCUAAAUCCUUCGUAUUCUUAAAGUACUAACCUAACUGAACUUCAUGCAAACAAUCGUACGUACUUCUUUUCGUUUCAUCUUAUCUCAUUUUACUGUAUUUUCAGUAACUUUAACACUUAAAAGCUAGUUUUUACUUUAUGUUGAUUCUUGCUAAUUUCAAUCUUUGAUAAUUCUUAUUGUUAAUAAUCAAACCAAGGCAACGGGGCCCAUGGAUUUGAUAGCUCUGUCUUGAGUUGGGGCUACGCUUCGAGAUUAGGUGUACACUUGAAAAAUAAACUAAUUUUGCAAAAUUUAUAGUUGUUUAUCGCAACUUUCAUUUUUUGCUGCACUUAAUAUAUACAUUAAGUAACGUAACUUAUAAUUAGCUUUACAUGUUGAGCGAAAAUUGUCCGUGAUGUAGAUCUUAGUUUUUAAAACAAGAUAUUACUUUGUGAUGUGAGGAGGACGGGGUGAAGCUAUAAAAUGAAUGUCGUUUAAUUGAGAUGGAAAACGUUUUUUAAAGACAAUGUCGAAAAGUACAUCAAUGUACAUGUGUCUCAAAAUAUUUGUUUUAGAAUUUCUCGCCGGACGCUUCGACGCACCGAAUUUUAAAAUCAAAACGAGGUUAAUUGCUUCAACGCAAAAGAGAUCCACAAUAUGGCGGGGGAAGUUUAUUGUACGACACACUGUUGUUUAGGUUAUGUCAUAUUGGUUUAAACAGAGGAGCUUUUAGAGUCAAUCAAUAAAUGUUUCGAGGAUUUUAAAGAAUUUCUUUUUCGACCGGUGUUCACAACCAUGCUUUCGGAAAUUGCCCGCUCGAUAUUUGAACCUGGAGUUAACAAGGCAACAAAAUAUUUCACUUACGGGAUUUUCGUCACUUUGAUUUUGUUGCUGCUUGCACUUCUUUUGGCUGUUGGAUUCAAUAUUCACCUGUUCCUGUUAUUCGUUUUGUCAUUGUGUCUUCUUGUGGCAAUUGUUUGGUUUGUUGAAGAGGUUCAAAGACUAAAUCCUGAGAAAGAGGUUAUAGAUAAGAAAGAGAGUUGAAGAGAACUGAAAAAAUACUGAGGUAUGUUGUAACCUGUCACAAUUACAAUUACAAGAAAACAUCUACAGGUUGCAUUUCUAUGACCUAGUCCCAUGGUUGACUAUUGUUUUCAUGUGAAGACAAACCAUGUAGGCAGAUGUCAAAUAAAAUUGAGUAAUUUGUAUUUAAAAUCAUUGGUGGGGCAAGGAACAAGUUAUCAGCUUGUCGUGAAAUUAUAAAAUCCUUCAUUA